rnacentral:RNase_P_RNA from 1 species
AAAAGGUGUGGUAAGAGCACACCGGUUCUAUUGGUAACAAUGAACGCUGGAAAACCCCACUGGGAGCAAGACUAAGUAGAGAUGACAUUGUUGAAAAACAAAAAGUAAUUCUUGGCUCGUCAUCAGGGUUAGUCGCUUGAGCUUAAGAGUGAUCUUGAGCCUAGAUAAAUGAUAGGUUUAAAUGACAGAACCCGGCUUAUAGUUUAUCUGGCAAA